AACGAACGCUGGCGGCAGGCUUAACACAUGCAAGUCGAACGAGAUCUUCGGAUCUAGUGGCAGACGGGUGAGGAACACGUGGGAACAUCCCUUUCAGUUCGGAACAACGUUGGGAAACUAACGCUAAUACCGGAUACGUCCUUCGGGAGAAAGAUUUAUCGCUGAAAGAUUGGCCCGCGUCUGAUUAGCUAGUUGGUGAGGUAAUGGCUCACCAAGGCUACGAUCAGUAGCUGAUCUGAGAGGAUGAUCAGCCACAUUGGGACUGAGACACGGCCCGAACUCCUACGGGAGGCAGCAGUGGGGAAUAUUGGACAAUGGGCGCAAGCCUGAUCCAGCCAUGCCGCGUGAGUGAUGACGGCCUUCGGGUUGUAAAGCUCUUUUGUCCGGGAAGAUAAUGACUGUACCGGAAGAAUAAGCCCCGGUAAACUUCGUGCCAGCCGCCGCAGUAA
rnacentral:rRNA from 1 species